ACAAACGACUCUCGGCAACGGAUAUCUCGGCUCACGCAUCGAUGAAGAACGUAGCAAAAUGCGAUACUUGGUGUGAAUUGCAGAAUCCCGUGAACCAUCGAGUUUUUGAACGCAAGUUGCGCCCGAAGCCAUUCGGYCGAGGGCACGUCUGCCUGGGCGUCAC
rnacentral:rRNA from 1 species